rnacentral:rRNA from 1 species
AACGAACGCUGGCGGCAGGCCUAACACAUGCAAGUCGAGCGAGGACUUCGGUCCUAGCGGCGGACGGGUGAGUAACGCGUGGGAACGUGCCCUUUGCUUCGGAAUAGCCCUGGGAAACUGGGAGUAAUACCGGAUGAGCCCUUUGGGGGAAAGAUUUAUCGGCGAAGGAUCGGCCCGCGUUGGAUUAGGUAGUUGGUGGGGUAAUGGCCUACCAAGCCGACGAUCCAUAGCUGGUUUGAGAGGAUGAUCAGCCACACUGGGACCGAGACACGGCCCAGACUCCUACGGGAGGCAGCAGUGGGGAAUCUUAGACAAUGGGGGAAACCCUGAUCUAGCCAUGCCGCGUGAGCGAUGAAGGCCUUAGGGUUGUAAAGCUCUUUCAGCUGGGAAGAUAAUGACGGUACCAGCAGAAGAAGCCCCGGCUAACUCCGUG